AUACUAACCUGGCAGAGGAAAUACUUUGAUUACAAAGGUGGUUUUUCCCAGGAUGAGGCUUAUCCAUUAUAUUCUGUAUGUCCUCUUCUCUGCGGCUUCCCCCGAUGUGGGAAUUUCGGCUGCGUCAUUUCUGGUGGUGGGGGACUGUGUUCGCGCUCUCGUCUG